CAUUUUUAUUUGUCCCCACCUCAGGAUGAAUCCUUCAAAUCAAGAUUAGCCAUGUUCAACACCAACGCUGCUCCAGCGGACCCCUUCCAGACGGAGGACCCCUUCAACGAUCCUUUCAGGGGAAGCGAUCCGUUCAAAGGGAGCUCGGCUGGUGAUCUAUUUAGCGGGGCGGGUGGCUCGGAUCCGUUUGCAUCCUCAGAUACCUUUGGAGAAAAACCCAAGCCGCCAGUCAAGCCCGGCUCAGUCCGCGCUCGUCUCGGCUUCUCAUCCAAUAGCAACAGCCCAAAACCAAAGCAUUCAGGUACCAGCGGCACUGCGUGCAUCACACAGAAACAUUGUAGUGAUUGUACAACUGCCUCAUUAAGACAUUUUUAUAAUUGUAUCCAGUUCCCAAUGACAGACUUUGGUUUUAAUCUACUCCAAAGAUU